GGUUAAGCGACUAAGCGUACACGGUGGAUGCCCUGGCAGUCAGAGGCGAUGAAGGACGUGCUAAUCUGCGAUAAGCGCCGGUAAGGUGAUAUGAACCGUUAUAACCGGCGAUUUCCGAAUGGGGAAACCCAGUGUGACUCGUCACACUAUCAUUAACUGAAUCCAUAGGUUAAUGAGGCGAACCGGGGGAACUGAAACAUCUAAGUACCCCGAGGAAAAGAAAUCAACCGAGAUUCCCCCAGUAGCGGCGAGCGAACGGGGAGGAGCCCAGAGCCUGAAUCAGCAUGUGUGUUAGUGGAAGCGUCUGGAAAGGCGCGCGAUACAGGGUGACAGCCCCGUACACAAAAGCGCAUGUGCUGUGAGCUCGAUGAGUAGGGCGGGACACGUGGUAUCCUGUCUGAAUAUGGGGGGACCAUCCUCCAAGGCUAAAUACUCCUGACUGACCGAUAGUGAACCAGUACCGUGAGGGAAAGGCGAAAAGAACCCCGGCGAGGGGAGUGAAAAAGAACCUGAAACCGUGUACGUACAAGCAGUGGGAGCACCCUUUGGGGUGUGACUGCGUACCUUUUGUAUAAUGGGUCAGCGACUUAUAUUCUGUAGCAAGGUUAACCGAAUAGGGGAGCCGGAGGGAAACCGAGUCUUAAUUGGGCGUUAAGUUGCAGGGUAUAGACCCGAAACCCGGUGAUCUAGCCAUGGGCAGGUUGAAGGUUGGGUAACACUAACUGGAGGACCGAACCGACUAAUGUUGAAAAAUUAGCGGAUGACCUGUGGCUGGGGGUGAAAGGCCAAUCAAACCGGGAGAUAGCUGGUUCUCCCCGAAAGCUAUUUAGGUAGCGCCUCGUGAAUUCAUCUCCGGGGGUAGAGCACUGUUUCGGCUAGGGGGCCAUCCCGGCUUACCAACCCGAUGCAAACUGCGAAUACCGGAGAAUGUUAUCACGGGAGACACACGGCGGGUGCUAACGUCCGUCGUGAAGAGGGAAACAACCCAGACCGCCAGCUAAGGUCCCAAAGUCAUGGUUAAGUGGGAAACGAUGUGGGAAGGCCCAGACAGCCAGGAUGUUGGCUUAGAAGCAGCCAUCAUUUAAAGAAAGCGUAAUAGCUCACUGGUCGAGUCGGCCUGCGCGGAAGAUGUAACGGGGCUAAACCAUGCACCGAAGCUGCGGCAGCGACACUCAGGUGUUGUUGGGUAGGGGAGCGUUCUGUAAGCCUGCGAAGGUGGCCUGUGAGGGUUGCUGGAGGUAUCAGAAGUGCGAAUGCUGACAUAAGUAACGAUAAAGCGGGUGAAAAGCCCGCUCGCCGGAAGACCAAGGGUUCCUGUCCAACGUUAAUCGGGGCAGGGUGAGUCGACCCCUAAGGCGAGGCCGAAAGGCGUAGUCGAUGGGAAACGGGUUAAUAUUCCCGUACUUGGUGUUACUGCGAAGGGGGGACGGAGAAGGCUAUGUUGGCCGGGCGACGGUUGUCCCGGUUUAAGCGUGUAGGCUGGUUUUCCAGGCAAAUCCGGAAAAUCAAGGCUGAGGCGUGACGACGAGGCACUACGGUGCUGAAGCAACAAAUGCCCUGCUUCCAGGAAAAGCCUCUAAGCAUCAGGUAACAUCAAAUCGUACCCCAAACCGACACAGGUGGUCAGGUAGAGAAUACCAAGGCGCUUGAGAGAACUCGGGUGAAGGAACUAGGCAAAAUGGUGCCGUAACUUCGGGAGAAGGCACGCUGACAUGUAGGUGAAGUGAUUUACUCAUGGAGCUGAAGUCAGUCGAAGAUACCAGCUGGCUGCAACUGUUUAUUAAAAACACAGCACUGUGCAAACACGAAAGUGGACGUAUACGGUGUGACGCCUGCCCGGUGCCGGAAGGUUAAUUGAUGGGGUCAGCGCAAGCGAAGCUCCUGAUCGAAGCCCCGGUAAACGGCGGCCGUAACUAUAACGGUCCUAAGGUAGCGAAAUUCCUUGUCGGGUAAGUUCCGACCUGCACGAAUGGCGUAAUGAUGGCCAGGCUGUCUCCACCCGAGACUCAGUGAAAUUGAACUCGCUGUGAAGAUGCAGUGUACCCGCGGCAAGACGGAAAGACCCCGUGAACCUUUACUAUAGCUUGACACUGAACAUUGAGCCUUGAUGUGUAGGAUAGGUGGGAGGCUUUGAAGUGUGGACGCCAGUCUGCAUGGAGCCGGCCUUGAAAUACCACCCUUUAAUGUUUGAUGUUCUAACGUGGACCCGUAAUCCGGGUUGCGGACAGUGUCUGGUGGGUAGUUUGACUGGGGCGGUCUCCUCCUAAAGAGUAACGGAGGAGCACGAAGGUUGGCUAAUCCUGGUCGGACAUCAGGAGGUUAGUGCAAUGGCAUAAGCCAGCUUGACUGCGAGCGUGACGGCGCGAGCAGGUGCGAAAGCAGGUCAUAGUGAUCCGGUGGUUCUGAAUGGAAGGGCCAUCGCUCAACGGAUAAAAGGUACUCCGGGGAUAACAGGCUGAUACCGCCCAAGAGUUCAUAUCGACGGCGGUGUUUGGCACCUCGAUGUCGGCUCAUCACAUCCUGGGGCUGAAGUAGGUCCCAAGGGUAUGGCUGUUCGCCAUUUAAAGUGGUACGCGAGCUGGGUUUAGAACGUCGUGAGACAGUUCGGUCCCUAUCUGCCGUGGGCGCUGGAGAACUGAGGGGGGCUGCUCCUAGUACGAGAGGACCGGAGUGGACGCAUCACUGGUGUUCGGGUUGUCAUGCCAAUGGCACUGCCCGGUAGCUAAAUGCGGAAGAGAUAAGUGCUGAAAGCAUCUAAGCACGAAACUUGCCCCGAGAUGAGUUCUCCCUGAGACUUUAGGUCUCCUGAAGGAACGUUGAAGACGACGACGUUGAUAGGCCGGGUGUGUAAGCGCAGCGAUGCGUUGAGCUAACCGGUACUAAUGAACCGUGAGGCUUAACCUU
rnacentral:rRNA from 1 species